rnacentral:rRNA from 1 species
UACGUAGGGUGCGAGCGUUGUCCGGAAUUAUUGGGCGUAAAGAGCUUGUAGGCGGUUUGUCGCGUCUGCCGUGAAAAUCCGGGGCUCAACCCCGGACUUGCGGUGGGUACGGGCAGACUAGAGUGUGGUAGGGGAGACUGGAAUUCCUGGUGUAGCGGUGAAAUGCGCAGAUAUCAGGAGGAACACCGGUGGCGAAGGCGGGUCUCUGGGCCAUAACUGACGCUGAGGAGCGAAAGCGUGGGGAGCGAACAGG